ensembl:snRNA U6 U6 spliceosomal RNA
GUGCUCGCUUCGGUAGAACAUAUACUAAAAUUGGAACGAUACAGAGAAGAUUAGCAUGGCCCCUGCGCUUUGUAUUUAUUUUCUAUUCCAUACUUUUUGCCCAUUUUU